GUCAAUUUUUCAGACCUUCAUUCUCUUGUGAAGGUCCCUGCUUAUGUGUAAAAAUUGUAAUUAAACUUGUAUGCUUUUCUCCGGUCAAUCUGUCAUAUAUCAGUUUAAUUCUUAGGCCCAGUUGGAAGAGGGCCUAAAUGGGAAGAGGAGACUUUUUCUUUCCUCCUCAACAGCUCCUUCAGUCCCCCAAUUGUUUGUGCCACCUUUCUUUUCCUCAUCCUCCUCAUGCUAAAUCAUGAAGCUCACUCAAUUUCCUUCAUGUCUGCAUGAUCCUGGAGCUGCAUGUGGUUCUAAAGCAGGGGCAGCAGCAGAAGGACCAAGGGGCCUAACACAAGAUAGGGGUCAUGCCAGCUACGGGAGAUCAGAGAAGAGUCAUGGAAGAAUUUCAACAGUCCAUGAAGGCAAGAGGACAUUAUGAAAAUAAAAAAGGGAGCCAAGAGAACAAUUGAUUGAAGUGCACUUGGAAUGAGGAUGAUAUGGUUUGGCUGUGUCCCCACCCAAAUCUUAUUUUGAAUUGUAGCUCCCAUAAUUCCACGUGUCAUGGGAGGGACCCAAUGGGAGGUAAUUUAAUCAUAGGGGUGGGUCUUUCCCAUGCUGUUCUCAUGAUAAUGAAUAAGUCUUAUGAGAUCUGAUGGUUUUAUAAAGGGGAGUUCCCCUGCACACGCUCUUUUGCCUGCCAUCAUGUAACAUGUGCCAUUUGCCUUCCGCCAUGAUUGUGAGGCCUCCCCAGCCACAUGGAACUGUGAGUCCAUUAAACCUCUUUUUCUUUAUAAAUUAACCAGUUUCAGGUAUGUUUUUAU
rnacentral:lncRNA from 1 species